AUUGAACGCUGGCAGCAGGCUUAACACAUGCAAGUCGAGCGGGGUGAUGGUGCUUGCACUAUCACUUAGCGGCGGACGGGUGAGUAAUGCUUAGGAAUCUGCCUAUUAGUGGGGGACAACAUCUCGAAAGGGAUGCUAAUACCGCAUACGUCCUACGGGAGAAAGCAGGGGAUCUCUUGUGACCUUGCGCUAAUAGAUGAGCCUAAGUCGGAUUAGCUAGUUGGUGGGGUAAAGGCCUACCAAGGCGACGAUCUGUAGCGGGUCUGAGAGGAUGAUCCGCCACACUGGGACUGAGACACGGCCCAGACUCCUACGGGAGGCAGCAGUGGGGAAUAUUGGACAAUGGGGGGAACCCUGAUCCAGCCAUGCCGCGUGUGUGAAGAAGGCCUUAUGGUUGUAAAGCACUUUAAGCGAGGAGGAGGCUCUUUUGGUUAAUACCCAAGAUGAGUGGACGUUACUCGCAGAAUAGGCACCGGCUAACUCUGUGCCAGCAGCCGCCGUAA
rnacentral:rRNA from 1 species